rnacentral:rRNA from 1 species
GAUGAACGCUGGCGGCGUGCCUAAUACAUGCGAGUCGAGCGAACAGACGAGGAGCUUGCUCCUCUGACGUUAGCGGCGGACGGGUGAGUAACACGUGGAUAACCUACCUAUAAGACUGGGAUAACUUCGGGAAACCGGAGCUAAUACCGGAUAAUAUAUUGAACCGCAUGGUUCAAUAGUGAAAGACGGUUUUGCUGUCACUUAUAGAUGGAUCCGCGCCGCAUUAGCUAGUUGGUAAGGUAACGGCUUACCAAGGCAACGAUGCGUAGCCGACCUGAGAGGGUGAUCGGCCACACUGGGACUGAGACACGGUCCAGACUCCUACGGGAGGCAGCAGUAGGGAAUCUUCCGCAAUGGGCGAAAGCCUGACGGAGCAACGCCGCGUGAGUGAUGAAAGUCUUCGGAUCGUAAAACUCUGUUAUUAGGGAAGAACAAAUGUGUAAGUAACUAUGCACGUCUUGACGGUACCUAAUCAGAAAGCCACGGCUAACUACGUG